rnacentral:rRNA from 1 species
AUUGAACGCUGGCGGCAGGCCUAACACAUGCAAGUCGAACGGUAACAGGAAGCAGCUUGCUGCUUCGCUGACGAGUGGCGGACGGGUGAGUAAUGUCUGGGAAACUGCCUGAUGGAGGGGGAUAACUACUGGAAACGGUAGCUAAUACCGCAUAACGUCGCAAGACCAAAGAGGGGGACCUUAGGGCCUCUUGCCAUCGGAUGUGCCCAGAUGGGAUUAGCUAGUAGGUGGGGUAACGGCUCACCUAGGCGACGAUCCCUAGCUGGUCUGAGAGGAUGACCAGCCACACUGGAACUGAGACACGGUCCAGACUCCUACGGGAGGCAGCAGUGGGGAAUAUUGCACAAUGGGCGCAAGCCUGAUGCAGCCAUGCCGCGUGCAUGAAGAAGGCCUUCGGGUUGUAAAGUACUUUCAGCGGGGAGGAAGGGAGUAAAGUUAAUACCUUUGCUCAUUGACGUUACCCGCAGAAGAAGCACCGGCUAACUCCGUG